AGUUCAUUUCCUGGAAGCUUUCAUCCUCCCACAGUUUUCAGCAGCAGUGUGGACACCAGCUCUCCAAAUGUCACAGGAUUUUAUUUUCUACUUAUUUAUUUUCUCAUCGAGGAGUGUUGAGAGACGCAGACAAUCGUAAUGAGCAGGUGGCUUCUGGAGAGCUGUGUGGGCUUCUGUCUGCAGCUUUUCUUCUCAGCUUUGGGACCAGAUCAGAGACAGGUUCAGGGGUGGAGAUGAUGAUGGAAUAAACCCAUCAGUGGAGGAGACAGAACCAGUACAGCUGCACAGCUCAGUUCGUCCGUUCUCCUCUAACUACGACAUGUUCCACCCUGGGCUGUAAUGGACAAGGUUUUAUUGCCACAACAUUUUGAGAUUGGGGGAUGCUGUUUGCAUUGUGGGUAUACUGAUAUAACGAGGAACAUAGAAGAAUAUUUGGACAGAGGAGAAAAGAUACAAUCCAGAAGAGGAGAAGGAAUGACAGAAAAAUCCUCGCCUAAUAGUGGUUCUUAUGCAAAGUGAAUUGGUUAACUUGAUGCAGGAUAAUGGACAGGGAAUUGGAACAACAAGUAGAAGAUGGACUUCUGAAUCAACUCCUGGUGAGGCUACAUCUUUAGAAAGGAUAUGGGGGUUGGUUUUGAUCCUGACAGGCAUAACAACACACUCAUGCUCUACCACUUUGGAAGUCCCUCUGCCCCCCUGCGCUGAGGAGAAUAUAAUAUGGGGCAGUGGUAGCUCAGUGGGUAAGACUCAGGACUCAAUCACAACUGCCUCCAUCUUCCAUCCUGCAGGGAGGAGGGUAAUGUAAAUGUAUGUAAAUCUCAAACGCAGAAACAGAGAAAAACCUUUCAUUCUCACACAGUGUUCACCAGCAGUGUGGAUACCAGCUUGGAGAAUGUCAGAUUAUAUUCCUCAUGUAUUCAUGCUCUAUUUAAAGAUUCUGCGCCCCCUGUGGGGGUUGGACCACUGAGGGAAAUUUUGCUGAAAUUAUUAAAUAUUGAUCAGAAUUCA